UCAUCUAUGUUUCCUGAUAAAGGGGACAAUUAUUCACCAUGGCACCAAUAUCUGUGAUCUUUGUAAAUGUGAUCUAGAAGAAAAAGCACAAUUAUUUAAAUGUGAUCCAUUUUGGUUUCUGAUAGAUUUAAUUGUUUGACACCUUUUCUUAUUUUGAGGUAUAGUAUGUGUCCAUCUACCUUUCCAAUAUAAAUUCAGGUCCUACCAUCUAGAGUGACUCAAAGUAAAAUUGGACUUCUUUUGGAAGACACAACAAACAAACAAACAAACAACCACCAACAACAAAAACAAUUAUUCAAAUAUUUGAAGAUAAAUAUUGCUGUGAAACGCCAUCAUGGCAUGUUCAUCACAUGGCAUCCCCUGUUAUGUCUCUCCCUGGUUGGGAGGAAAUGAGGUCCUUCACCUGCUGCCCAAGACGGGUGCAUGCAGGUCAUCUCCGUGUCAACUGUGAGACGAGACCCACUGGUCAUAAGAAACUGAACUGAUACUCACGGUUGAAACUGGGCUUUCUCUGUCUCUUCUAUAUGAUAGUAAAGUAUUAUUCCAUCC